AGUAACGGCGAGUGAAGCGGCAAAAGCUCAAAUUUGAAAUCUGGCCUCUGGUCCGAAUUGUAAUUUGAAGAAGCGACUCUGGUACCGGCCCUUGUCUAUGUUCCUUGGAACAGGACGUCACAGAGGGUGAGAAUCCCGUGCGAUGGGGUGUCCGGUGCUAUGUAGAGCGUUUUCGACGAGUCGAGUUGUUUGGGAAUGCAGCUCUAAGUGGGUGGUAAAUUCCAUCUAAAGCUAAAUAUUGGCGAGAGACCGAUAGCGAACAAGUACUGUGAAGGAAAGAUGAAAAGAACUUUGAAAAGAGAGUGAAAAAGUACGUGAAAUUGUUGAAAGGGAAGGGCUUGGGAUCAGACAUUGUAUUUCCAUGGCGCUCUUUCGGGGGUGUCCUCUGGGUUUACAGGGCCAGCAUGGGUUCUGCGGGCAAGAUGAGGGUUUGGGGAAUGUGGCUCUGCUUCGGCGGCCCUGUUAUAGCCCUGGACACCGGUUGCCACGCGGGACCGAGGAUUGCGAAUCUAGGAUGCUGGCAUAAUGAUCUUAAGCCGCCCGUCUUGAAACACGGACCAAGGAGUCUAACGUCUAUGCGAGUGUUUGGGUGUAAAACCCGUACGCGGAAUGAAAGUGAACGCAGGUGAGAGCUUCGGCGCAUCAUCGACCGAUCCUGAUGUCUUCGGAUGGAUUUGAGUAAGAGCAUAGCUGUUGGGACCCGAAAGAUGGUGAACUAUGCCUGAAUAGGGUGAAGCCAGAGGAAA
rnacentral:rRNA from 1 species